rnacentral:sRNA from 19 species
UGCAGGGUAGUUAAUCGGCACGGGCGUAGAGGUUUCCUCUUCGCCCGUGCUUGUAUGUUAAGGGGCUUAAAAAAAC